rnacentral:rRNA from 1 species
UACGGGGGGGGCAAGCGUUGUUCGGAAUUACUGGGCGUAAAGGGCUCGUAGGUGGCCAACUAAGUCAGACGUGAAAUCCCCAGGCUUAACCUGGGAACUGCGUCUGAUACUGGAUGGCUUGAAUUCGGGAGAGGGAUGCAGAAUUCCAGGUGUAGCGGUGAAAUUCGUAGAUAUUGGGAAGAACACCGGUGGCGAAGGCGGCUCUCUGGACCGAUACUGACGCUGAGGCGCGAAAGCGUGGGGAGCAAACAGG